UAAGGAAUAUUGGACAAUGNACGCAAGUCUGAUCCAGCCAUGCCGCGUGAAGGAUGACUGCCCUCUGGGUUGUAAACUUCUUUUAUAGGGGAAGAAAGUUAUUUUUUUUAGGAUAUUUGACGGUACCCUAUGAAUAAGCACCGGCUAACUCCGUGCCAGCAGCCGCGGUAAUACGGAGGGUGCAAGCGUUAUCCGGAUUCACUGGGUUUAAAGGGUGCGUAGGCGGGUAUGUAAGUCAGUGGUGAAAUACCGGAGCUUAACUUCGGAACUGCCAUUGAUACUAUAUAUCUUGAAUAUUGUGGAGGUAAGCGGAAUAUGUCAUGUAGCGGUGAAAUGCUUAGAGAUGACAUAGAACACCGAUUGCGAAGGCAGCUUGCUACGCAAAUAUUGACGCUGAGGCACGAAAGCGUGGGGAUCAAACAGGAUUAGAUACCCUGGUAGUCCACGCCCUAAACGAUGAUUACUCGACAUUAGCGAUACACAGUUAGUGUCUGAGCGAAAGCAUUAAGUAAUCCACCUGGGAAGUACGACCGCAAGGUUG
rnacentral:rRNA from 1 species